GUGUCAGCAGCCGCGGUAAUACGUAGGGGGCGAGCGUUGUCCGGAGUUACUGGGCGUAAAGGGCGUGUAGGCGGUUGGACAAGUCUGGUGUGAAAUGCAUUGGCUUAACCGGUGCGCUGCGCUGGAAACUGUCUGACUGGAGUUCGGGAGGGGUCACUGGAAUCCCCGGUGUAACGGUGAAAUGUGUAGAUAUCGGGGGGAACACCUGUGGCGAAGGCGGGUGACUGGACCGAAACUGACGCUGAUACGCGAAAGCGUGGGGAGCAAACAGGAUUAGAAACCCGGGUAGUCC
rnacentral:rRNA from 1 species